GACGAACGCUGGCGGCGUGCCUAAUACAUGCAAGUCGAGCGGACUUGAUGGAGUGCUUGCACUCCUGAUGGUUAGCGGCGGACGGGUGAGUAACACGUAGGCAACCUGCCCAUAAGACCGGGAUAACAUUCGGAAACGAAUGCUAAUACCGGAUAGGCGAUACCCUCGCAUGAGGGGAUCGAGAAAGGCGGCGCAAGCUGCUGCUUAUGGAUGGGCCUGCGGCGCAUUAGCUAGUUGGUGGGGUAACGGCCUACCAAGGCGACGAUGCGUAGCCGACCUGAGAGGGUGAUCGGCCACACUGGGACUGAGACACGGCCCAGACUCCUACGGGAGGCAGCAGUAGGGAAUCUUCCGCAAUGGACGAAAGUCUGACGGAGCAACGCCGCGUGAGUGAGGAAGGCCCUCGGGUCGUAAAGCUCUGUUGCCAGGGAAGAACGGGUGGGAGAGUAACUGCUCCCGCCAUGACGGUACCUGAGAAGAAAGCCCCGGCUAACUACGUGCCAGCCGCCGCCGUAAAAC
rnacentral:rRNA from 1 species